AUUUCUUUUCUGGAAAAGAAUACCCCGUUCAUUUCCAACCCUACUCCAAAGUUGGAAUGUCGUGUGACUGAACAGGAAGGGCAGACCACCAAAGUCCAAACUAUCCGCUGCCGCCGAACCGACCUCCGGUCAGGAUUGACCUAUUUCUUCACUGGUGCCAUUAACGAGCUUUUCAAACCAGUAAAUCCAGGAUGAUGUAGUUAUGAUUGAAGAACCAUGGAUAAAUGAGAAUACAUCUAAACCUGAUAAGAUAUCAUCAGGAGAAAGAGGUGAAAUGACAUCAAGGGAGGAGAUCCCAUGUCUAGAUGCCACUGACAUGGAUGAAGUUAAGAAUGAUCAAACUGUUGCUAGUUGUCUAGAGAAUAUCACAUUAGAGGACAUGGAAAUUGUUCUUCCGGGAACCGGUUCUUUGGUCCAAUUCAUGGGUAAUGAUAGAUCCACCAAAACUUUUCAAUCGUAAGUUCCUUGAACUCCUAUGUUCUCAUCCGAUGUGUCAUUUGGACUUUAAUCAAUACAACAAAAUCAGAAAACAAGGAUAUUCUGCUUCUUAUGGCUGCCAUGUUA